rnacentral:rRNA from 1 species
ACGCUGGCGGCAUGCCUAACACAUGCAAGUCGAACGGCAGCACAGCAGUAGCAAUACUGUGGGUGGCGAGUGGCGGAACGGGUGAGUAAUGCAUCGGGACCUACCCAGACGUGGGGGAUAACCUCGGGAAACCGGGACUAAUACCGCAUACGUCCUACGGGAGAAAGCGGGGGACCUUCGGGCCUCGCGCGGCUGGACGGACCGAUGUGCGAUUAGCUAGUUGGUAGGGUAAUGGCCUACCAAGGCGACGAUCGCUAGCUGGUCUGAGAGGAUGAUCAGCCACACUGGGACUGAGACACGGCCCAGACUCCUACGGGAGGCAGCAGUGGGGAAUAUUGGACAAUGGGCGCAAGCUGAAUCCAGCAAUGCCGCGUGUGUGAAGAAGGCCUUCGGGUUGUAAAGCACUUUUAUCAGGAACGAAAUACCACGAAGUUAAUAACCUAUGGGGCUGA